GGCAGGAGAAUUGCUUGAACCUGGGAGGCGGAGGUUGCCGAGAGCCAAGAUUUCGCCACCAUACUCCAACCUGGGCAACAGAGUGAGACUCUGUCUCUACAAAAAAAAAAAGCGAAAAAAACAAAAGAUGGAGUCUCACUCUGUUGCCAGGGCUGGUCUCGAACUCCUGGCCUCAAGUGAUCCUCCUGCCUCAGCCUCUCAAAGUGCUGGGAUUACAGGCAUGAGCCACCGCGCCCGGCUAGGUGUCAUUUUGGCAUUUAUCUGGCUUGAUGUUUUCUGACCUUUCUAAAUAUGUGGUUUGGUUUCUGACAUUAAUUUUGAAAAAUUACAGUCAUUGUUGUUUCAAAUAUGUCUUUUCUUUUGUUACUUUCUCUUUUUCUUCUCCUUCUGCUAUUCUCAGUACACGUUGUUACAGCUUUCAUAAUUUCCCACAGUUCUUGAAGUUCUGUUUCUGUGGGGUUUUUUUAAAGUCUCUUUUCUUUUUGCUUUUUAGUUUUUGAGGUUUCUAUUGAAAUAUCCUCAAGCGCAGAGAUUCUUUCCUCGCUGUGUUCAGUGGAUUACUGUACCACUAAGUAAUCCGCCAAACACAUUCUUCAUUUCUGUCCUCAUGUUUUCCAUCUCUAGUAUUUCUUUUUGGUUCUUUCGUAGAAUUUCCACCUGUCUUACACUGUCCAUCUGUUCUUGCAUGCUGUUGACUUUAUCCAUGAAAGCCAUCGUAUUAUUCAUCGUUGUUUUAAAUUCCUGGUCUAAUAAUUCUGAAUAUCUCCCAUAUCUGAGUCUGCUUAUGAUGCUUCUUCUGUCUAUUCAAACUCUCUUUUUUUGUCUUUUUAGCAUGCCUUGUAAUUUUCUCUUGAUAGCUGGACAUAAUGUACUGGGUAAAAGAACCUGCUGAAAACAGGCCUUUGUAAAGGGGUGGUAAGGUAUGGGGGGAGUGUGGUAAAGGAUACUAUUGUCCUGUGAAUAGGUCGCAGUCUUUCAGUAAGUCUGUGCCUCUGGACUGUGGACUUCACACAUGCUGCUAGUCUCCCCACCACCUUUAGGUGGGUCUGGAUAUGUACAGUGGGUUGGAUUGGGGUAUUUUCCUCUCCCACAGGGAAGGUUAGAGGGGUCUGGAGUUGGGUACUUCCCUUCUCCCAGCUGAGUUAAGCCCUGAUAAAACCCGGAAGCUUAGGCCCUGAUUUCUCCUGAGGGCAGACUUUGUUGAGAACAGAAUGCUCUGGUGUAUUUCAAAAUGGUUCCUUUUCCCCUCCCACUGCUGGAAGCAUGAAGGAAUUUUUCUCCAAUAUUUACUGUGAAAACCAGGUCAAGCUCCUGGA
rnacentral:lncRNA from 1 species